rnacentral:rRNA from 1 species
UUAGAGAGGGAUACUUGGGAAACUGAGGAUAUACUUAUAGGUGAGGUGCUCUGGAAUGACCCUUACUUAAAGGAUGUCGAUCUUAUGCCGGUCGAUGUUGCUUAAGAAAGAGUCUGCGGCGGAUUAGGUAGACGUUAGGGUAAUGACCUAACGUGCCAACGAUCCGUAUCGGCUAUGGGAGUAGGAGCCGGGAGAUGGAUACUGAGACAAAGAUCCAGGCCCUACGGGGCGCAGCAGGCGCGAAACCUCCACAAUGCGCGUAAGCGUGAUGGGGGGACCCCAAGUGCCAGUACGACAGGGGACUUUUUGUAGGAGUGUUAAAAAGCUCUUAAGAAUAAGGGCUGGGUAAGACCGGUGCCAGCCUCCGCGGUAACACCGGCAGCUCGAGUGGUAGUCGUUUUUACUGGGCUUAAAGCGUUCGUAGUCGGUCUGGUAAGUUCUCUAUGAAAUCCUAUGACUUAAUUAUAGGGCUUGUAGAGAAUACUGCCAGGCUAGGAACCGGGAGAGGUCAGGGGAAUUCCCAGGGUAGCGGUGAAAUGUUAUAAUCCUGGGAGGACCACCGAUGGCGAAGGCACCUGACUGGAACGGGUUCGACGAUGAGGAACGAAAGCUAGGGGAGCAAACCGGAUUAGAUAUCCGGGUAGUCCUAGCCGUAAACGAUGUGAGCUAAGUAUUUCUUGAACUUCGUGUUCAAGAAGUGUUGAAGGGAAACCAUUAAGCUCACCGCCUGGGGAGUACGGUCGCAAGGCUGAAACUUAAAGGAAUUGGCGGGGGAGCACCACAAGGGGUGGAGUCUGCGGUUUAAUUGGAUACAACGCCGAGAAACUUACCAGGGGCGACGGCAGUAUGAAGGUCAGACUGAUGAUCUUGCUAGACGAGCCGAGAGGUAGUGCAUGGCCGCCGUCAGCUCGUACCGUGAGACGUGCGGUUAAGUCCGUUAACGAGCGAAACCCGUGCCUUUAUUUGCCAUCUUCUUCGAUGGAGGGGGAGCACUAUAAAGGGACCGCUGGCGAUGAGCCAGAGGAAGGUGCGGUCGACGAUAGGUCUGUAUGCUCCGAAUCUCCUGGGCUACACGUGGACUACAAUGACACAGACAAUGGGUUGCAACUUCGAAAGAGGAGAGCUAAUCCCCUAAAUUGUGCCUUAGUUCGGAUUGAGGGUUGAAACUCACCCUCAUGAAGAUGAAAUCCCUAGUAAUCGCUGGUGACUAUCCAGCGGUGAAUAUGUCCCCGCUCCUUGCACACACCGCCCGUCAAACCAACCGAGUGGAUCUAUAAUGAG